rnacentral:rRNA from 1 species
UACGGGGGGUGCGAGCGUUGUCCGGAAUCACUGGGCGUAAAGGGCGCGUAGGUGGCGUGAUAAGGGUGUGGUGAAAGCCCGGGGCUCAACCCCGGGUCGGCCAUGCCGACUGUCAGGCUUGAGUACUGUAGGGGCAGGCGGAAUUCCGGGUGUAGCGGUGAAAUGCGUAGAUAUCUGGAGGAACACCGGUGGCGAAGGCGGCAUCCUGGACCGACAUUGACGCUGAGGAGCGAAAGCUAGGGGAGCAAACGGG